rnacentral:lncRNA from 1 species
GAUACGUUUCCCUACAUUUGCGGAUUUCAAGGUCACAGUUACGACGACCAUGAUGUAAGUCUUGGCAGUGUUCUGGGCUACAGUGACAUUCAGUGUACCUACAUCUGUGCUUUCAGAAACGAUUGCCACGCAGCUGACUUCAACAAAAAGACCUUAACAUGUUCCUUGAUGAAUACAACAUCUAGAUCUAAUGUCCUUAUGAUUAAUCCAGACCAUGAUGUUUUUCUCGUCAACUAAACUUUACUUAUUUAUGUUCGUAAAUAAACAACAUUUCAUAAGUCAUGUGCGUCUGAAGCUGUUUUUUUAAUACUUUCAUGGCAAACUCUCAAACAAAAAAAAAAUAAAAAAAUAUCUGGUCGUUUACAAUGAUUUAAACGUCUUUCGGAAAGC